rnacentral:rRNA from 1 species
GCUGAAAAUCUAGCCCCCCCCCCCUUUUUCUAUACCCCUUUAAACUUACACCAAUAAACUAAAACAUUCACCAUAUCUUAGUAAAGGCGAUUGAAAAACUAAUUAGAGCCAUAACAAUAGUACCGCAAGGGAAAGAUGAAAUAAAAAUGAAAUAAAUAUUAAGCGCAAAACAGCAGAGACACUCACUCGUACCUUUUGCAUCAUGAUUUAUCUAGUCUAAUCAAGCAAAAAGACUUAUAGUUUGACCCCCCGAAACUAGACGAGCUACUUCGAGGCAGCCUCAUGAGCCCACCCGUCUCUGUUGCAAAAGAGUGGGAAGACCCCCAAGUAGCGGUGACAGACCUAACGAGUCUAGUGAUAGCUGGUUGCUUAAAAAAAGGAUCAAAGUCCUACCUAAAGCAUUCUCAAUUUAUUUAAAUACCACUAAUGUUUUAGAGUCAUUCAAAUGAGGUACAGCCCGUUUGAAACAAGGAUACAACCUAAGCUAAUGGGUAAUUUAUACACAACAUGAACAAGUGGGCUUAAAAGCAGCCAUCUUUAAAAUAGCGUCAAAGCUUACUCAUAUAAAACCCUAAUACCACGAUUUCCCUCAAAACCCUUUAUCUGUAUUAAGCUAUUCUAUAAAUUUAUAGAAGUUAUUAUGUUAAAACUAGUAAUAAGAAGAUGACCUUCUCUUUAAUGUAAACGUAAAUCAGAAAGGACCAACCACUGAUAAUUAAUGCUAAUGAACCAAAAACAGCAACUCUACUAGAAAACCCUGUUUUAUUUGGCAUUAACCUAACACCAGAACAUCUCAAGAAAGAUUAAAAGAAAAAGAAGGAACUCGGCAAAUAUUAACCUCGCCUGUUUACCAAAAACAUCGCCUCUUGCUAUAAUAUAAGAGGUCCAGCCUGCCCAGUGACUCAGUUCAACGGCCGCGGUAUCCUAACCGUGCGAAGGUAGCGUAAUCACUUGUUCUUUAAAUAAGGACUAGUAUGAAUGGCAUCACGAGGGUUAUACUGUCUCCUUUUUCUAAUCAAUGAAACUGAUCUCCCCGUGAAGAAGCGGGGAUCACUAUAUAAGACGAGAAGACCCUAUGGAGCUUUAAACUAUAUAGCAAAAGCUCAUACAUUAAAAUAUUUCAGAACUAUAACACCUAUUCUAGCAUACAUGACUAUUAGUUUUAGGUUGGGGUGACCGCGGAGCAAAAGUUAACCUCCACAUUGAAUGAAACCUCUUCUUAGCAAAAAGCCACAACUUUAAGCACCAAUAAACUGACAUAAAUUGACCCAAUAUUUUGAUCAACGAACCAAGUUACCCUAGGGAUAACAGCGCAAUCCACCUCAAGAGCUCCUAUCGACAGGUGGGCUUACGACCUCGAUGUUGGAUCAGGGUAUCCUAGUGGUGCAGCCGCUACUAAAGGUUCGUUUGUUCAACGAUUAAAACCCU